rnacentral:sRNA from 1 species
GGAUGUGAGGGCGAUCUGGCUGGGACAUCUGUCACCCCGAUGAUCUCCAGGGUUGAUUUGGCUGAUCUGGCUGGCUAGGCAGGUGUCCACUUCCUCCCUCAACAAUCCACGUGUAUCCCUCCUGAAGCUGCGCGCUUGGUCGAAGAGGACGACCACCCCUGAUAGAGGAGGACUGCUCCUCCGUCAAGGGUAUAUGAGUAGUUGUGCUUCUCUGCUAGAACCUUGAAGCAUGCUGUGGUGGAAACGCUGGCAUUGUCAGCU